GGGGCAGCAACCCAACAACCAGUUGUCCAAUUCAUCUGAAAAUUUCAGGGCAGAUAGAUAUUUACUAGAUAAACAAGUUAACCCCUUGUUAGAUUUGCUUUAAAUGCUUUGGUUUCAGAGUUAUAAGCCAAAAUCUACAUUUUACCCCUACUUUCUAUUUUUAGCCAUGGCGGCAUUCUUUGUUGGUUGGCUGUGUCACCGCACACAGUUUUUAAACUAGAUACCCUAAUUAUGAUUUUGGCUAAGUUUCGUUAAAUUUGGUCCAGUAGUUUCAGAGGAGAAGAUUUUUGUAAAAGAUAACAAAAAUUUAUGAAAAAUUGGUAAAAAAUUACUAUUAAGGGCAAUAACUCCUAAAGGGGUCAACUGAUC
rnacentral:lncRNA from 1 species